rnacentral:rRNA from 1 species
UACGUAGGCAGCGAGCGUUGUUCGGAGUUACUGGGCGUAAAGGGUGUGUAGGCGGUUCUUUAAGUUUGGUGUGAAAUCUCCCGGCUCAACCGGGAGGGUGCGCCGAAUACUGAGGGACUAGAGUACGGGAGAGGAAAGUGGAAUUCCUGGUGUAGCGGUGAAAUGCGUAGAUAUCAGGAGGAACACCGGUGGUGUAGACGACUCUCUGGACCGUAACUGACGCUGAGACACGAAAGCGUGGGUAGCAAACAGG